UUUACUUUGCCUAAUAAAAGAUUAAAGUUUUUUUUCAACCCUGUAUGUAUUACGAUGAUGGGCUGUGCGGGGCGGCUUAUGGCUGUGCGGGGCGAGUAGGUGGCGGCUCAGGGCAUGGUAAUGCAGUGUCGGCGGUUGGCGGUGGCCCGCGGUGCAUCUUCUCCUUCCGCAGCGUCCGGGAAGACGAGGGGAUCCGGCAGUCUGCUGGGUACCCUGCUUAGCACCCCAGGCACAGCCCGCGUGCGUCGCUGCUGGAGGUAGUCACCCCCCGGCGUCGCUGCUGGAGCUAGUCACCCCCCGGCGUUGCUUCCUGGCAUCUUUGCGUGGGCGCUGUGUCCGGUCCUUGGUCCCGUGCACCCACCUCGCCCGGAAUGGAGGGAGUCCUGCGGGUACCAGAUGUGCGUAGCAGCAGCCUUGUGUUCGCCACCGAUUGCGUGCACCAGCUCAUCCCCACCCACACCUGCUUCGUGUCUCUCCCGCGUCGACAUGUUAUCCGUUCCAUAACCUCCAGAUGCCUCUGAAAAUAUGGCAUUGCUACCGGUUCCUCGUCGACGCGCUGGUCUCGUGGUCCUCGAAGCGCCAGCCCACGGCGUCCCGCUCCAGCGUGGAGGCAGAGUACCGUAGCGUGGCCAACACCGGGCCGAGUGUGUCUGGCUUCGACAACUCCUCGGCAAGCUCUGCUGCGCGGUCACCACUGCAACGCUGCCAUGCUGGUCUACUGCGACAACAUCUCUGCCGUGUACCUAUGCAGCAAUCUCGUUCACCACCACGGCACCAAGCAUGUCGAGCUGGACAUCCACUUAGCGGAUGACUGCAGGUGGACGAUGCUGCGAGUGGGCGGUGACGCACGUCGACAUGAGGCCAGAGUUUUGGAGAACGCAUCGUCGUGGUCGUGGCUUUGUUAGCAGGUCGCAGGAACAGGUGAUGACUAAGUAGGAGUAGUUCUCAUCAUUGUCUCAAAGAAAACGUGACGGUUUAUUACGGCUGGAUAAUACAGCAAGGUCCGGCGUUCGAUCUCUGGACCGUGUAUUAUAUUAGCGAACAUCAUUUAUUUAUUUUUUCGAUCGUUUGAAACCUCUGGUGGGCCGGAUACUGUGUCAGCGCGCGUGCGUGCCGAGUCAGCCCAUGCGGACGAGCGCACAGGUUGUAUGCUUUAAAAAUUGUCCCACCUCGCCUGCUGUGGGACGCUGUGCCCAGCUUAUAUAGUGCCUUCCUCCAAUCGCAUUACCUCCACGGGGACAACCAGCCGAGAAAGAGGCCUUAGAGCCCACGAAAAAAGGAAAGAAAAAAUAAUAAAAGAGGCUCUUUAUAGAGCCCGCAAAAGAAAAAGAGCCAGAGCCGAAAAAUGGACCUAGGCCAGAGCCAACAAAUAAAAAAAGAGGCUUCAUAGCCCAACCCAUAAAAAAAGAGGCAAAGCACAUGGCUUUUU